CAGUAGCCGCGGUAAUACAGAGGGUGCGAGCGUUAAUCGGAUUUACUGGGCGUAAAGCGUGCGUAGGCGGCUAAUUGAGUCGGAUGUGAAAUCCCCGAGCUUAACUUGGGAUUUGCAUUCGAUACUGGUUAGCUAGAGUGUGGGAGAGGAUGGUAGAAUUCCAGGUGUAGCGGUGAAAUGCGUAGAGAUCUGGAGGAAUACCGAUGGCGAAGGCAGCCAUCUGGCCUAACACUGACGCUGAGGUACGAAAGCAUGGGGAGCAAACAGGAUUAGAUACCCGCGUAGUCCCUGUCUCUUAUAC
rnacentral:rRNA from 1 species